rnacentral:lncRNA from 1 species
CUUAGCCAAGCAUUGGAGAACUGCAGGUGGGAUGGGAUUGUUUUGUGUUAAUACAAUAAAGCGUCAAUUAAAAGUGGGUGCAUCCAAUGUUUUUGUUGGCCUAUGAACAUGUAACAAAGCCAAUUAUUUUAGUGUUCAUAUGUGUGUAUAAAUGUGUGUGUGUGUAUAUAUAUAUAUAUAUAUAUAUAUAUAUGAAUGAAUGAUAGGGAUGUCAAGUAACAUCUAUUGAAAUAUCCAUUGACCAAAGCCAAAUGGUUGACCAAGAUUGAUCAGAUAAAGAGAAGAUGAAUGUAAAAUAACUACAUUUUUCUACAAGUAUUACAGAUAUUGAAAUAUGGAUCAACAAGUUAUUUUACUUGAAAAAUAUUCAAGGCUUUGUACUACAGAAAAAGUAGAGUGUGCACAAUGUAUGUCUGGCAGCUCACUGCAAGUGCACACAAUGGGGAUGUCUUCAAAGAGCCCUAAUUCCAAGCAUUUUGCAACCCUCACAAGACUCUACUGUCUCUGCUUCAUUCUGAGUUUCUGCACCUCAGAGUUUGUUCUUAGAGAAUUCAGAUGCAAGAUUUGAUAUCUUCAAUGACAAGAAGUUUUAUUUUUCUUGGAGUUUUUAAAAUUAUAUGUGUAAAUUUUAAAAAAAAAACAACAUAGAUAUUAAAUGUUUGAAACUUUGAAUUGAACAUGAUUUCUAUUCACAUGUUCAUUCCAAGCUAUGAAUUAAAGUUAAUGAAAAAACCUACAAGUUUUGCAAUGAUAUUUUUAUUCUCUUUCAAAACUACUGUUGUAAUUAUUUUCUAACUUGAUUUUAAAACUGUAGUAAUAAGACUAACAUCUUAAAUGUAACAAAUUAGAUAUUUUUUAAAAAUUAAAGUUGAUUUUCAUGCCAAAUUUCAUGUGUUGAUGAAGGAUAGAAUCACUUAAACACACAAAAUAAAAAUAAAAAUAAAAAUGGAAUUAAAAAUAAAAAACAUUUGAAAUAUAAUAAUAAUAACAACAACAAUCAUAACCAUGAUCUAUUUUUUAUUAGCCUUCUUGCAGCGACUUUUACAAUUUCAGAACCAAGCAAAAAUUGUUCUCUAUUUUGCUUAUUCCAACACCACACAUUGUAGGUAGCGAAUUUUGACUUUAUUUUACAUUUUAUUUCAAUUCUUUCUAAUCUUCAAAUAAUGUAUUCAUAUCUAUGAACAUAUUUUACUUUGAUCUAAAAUUUUAUAAAUUCACCAUUACCAUAUUUAUUAUUGAUAAAAUAAGUUAUGUGAUUGAUACUUUUAUAAUUUUUAUAAAUAAAUAAAUAAAUAAAUAAAUAAAUAAAUAGUUGUGGCUAGUGCCACCCUAGUUUUUGUUAUUGCCACUACAGCUUGCCAUCCACCACAUGUCAUUAUAGUUUUUUUUUUUUUUCAUCAAAACUUAUUCUUAUUAUUUUUACUAUAUAUAUAUAUAUAUAUAUAUAUAUAUAUAUAUAUAAAUUAAAAUUUAUUUUUUUGAUUCACAUAAAAAACUAUAAAAAAAAAUCAAAUUUUCUGAGAUUACUACUGAGAAUUGUUAUUUAUCCUUAAGAUUUUAUUUUGGUUUUUCUUGUUUGAAAUUUGCUAUGCAUUGUAUAAAACAUGCAAGAACACUUCAAGGACUCUCUAAGUAGGGUCAUUGCAGACCUCUUUGGGUUGCAUGAACACACCUUCAGAGACAUUAGCCAAGACUCCCUUUGCUAAAAAGUCACCUCAGACUGAUGCUUGAUGACUUCAAAAAAUUAUAAUAAAAUAUUAGCAAUUGUUAUAAAAUAUUAGAAUGUUCAAAAAAAACAAUCUACAAAGAUUCUGCAUUAAAAUGGAUUUACUCCAAUAGCAUCUCCAACAUUCUUCCAAAGUCCUUUGGUAGUAUCCUAGCACAUUGGAAGUCUUGAAAUAUUUUAGGAUACCUUUAUCAAAUAUAGAAUCUAAAAUUAAGCAUGUUUAUACUUUCCACCCUUAUCUUUUUUAAAUCCUCUGGCAGUUUUUAUGAAUAGUUUAUCUUCUCUUUUAUUGUGUGUGUGUGUGUGUGUUUUGUUUUGUUUUGUUUUUUUUUUUUGGUUCUUCCACUACAAAGCUUCAGAAUUUAUUCUUUGCCAAAAACACUAAUCUUAAUAAAUGUUCUAAAUUAUUGGUGACAUUCUAAAAUGAUGAUAUUCCUGUGUGUGUAUGCAUGUAUAUACAUUUAUUUUUUUGCAUUAACAUGUUUUAAUUUGUUCUCUGUCUAAUUCACAGACAUAAAUUCUUAAUAAAAUAUGUAUUACAGUAAUAUUUCAAAUUGACGUUUUGGAAAAUAAGUUGGAAGAAAAAAAAAACAACAACAAGAUAUUUACUAAAUUUGGUAAGAUUAUGCACCAAAUAUAUAUGAAACUCUCAUUGUCCUAACAACAUGAUUUAUCUAUUGAUUUUUAUUCUUUUAAAAUAUAGGAAUCUUUGAAAUUUAUGUUUCCAACAAGUUUUAUUCCUUGAGGUUUGACCACUUUAUCUCCAUUGCAAAUGUGUGUCUUUAUCAAUGUGAUUAUGCUUUACUUCCUUUUCUGUGCCACAUUACAUAUUACCUCAUUUUUAAAAACAUGUGUCUUAUUGAGCUAAUUCCAUAUUUAUACAUACAUACAUACAUGUCAAUGUGAGUUUAUAUGUAAUGUUGUAUCAACAUGUGUGAUUUCAUGCCCCAUUGUACAUUCUAAUCCACUUGAAGUGAUGGGUAAAGAAAACAAGCAUAGAGUAACAAUGUCACCAAACAUGUAACUCCCCUUUUAACAACCACCUCACACCCACUACCAUAAUAUAGCAUAUAAUGUAUAUAUCCAUGUAAAACUCACAUUGGUGUGUUUGUGUGUGUAAUGGGAACCAAGCUAUUCUGCAAACCCUAAACUUGGGAAAAGGCUGCAUGAUCAGAGAGCAUGAUGGCAUCAUGCAAUGGAUGAAUGAACAU